CGGCAACCUGGGAAAUCUCUGGUCCCCUUUCAUCUCCCGGUGCCACCCCAGCGAGGAGGAUCGGGCAACUGCUAGCGCUACUGUCAACACCUCCCCUGUGCAUGCCACGGACAGCUCGGCUUAGCCUUGUGGCAAACAUAGAACAGAUUAGCGUGCCGGCAACCCUCUUCCCAAACAUCUCUGACAGCAUUAGCACAUGCUAAGUCAAGGGCGUACGUGAGAGUCAGCUGUCAAGUGGUGGGAAUUCCUGGUGCUUCACUGAAGGUCGCUCCCACCAUCCAGAGCAACGGGUCUCCCACGCUAGGUGUUAACUCGGCACCGCUAACAGUUUAGUUUGGACGUCCCGGCAUGUUUGAGGGGGAGUUAACUGCUGCUUUACAUUCACACAGCAGGGCUGCAGUGGGCGAGCAUCACCUGUCACACAACACCGUGGGUCUAUGAGGAGGCCGCAGGGGAGCCAACUGCAAGAAUGUCCUCCCAGCCUCGGUUGCCCUCCUCCUUCACUUUAAUCCAGUGGCGGAAUUUCACUCGACAAGUGAUCAAAGACCGGUAGCACGAUGCCAGGUGCAGCUGUAGCUUCAACUGUUGACAACCACCUAGCAGUUUUUCCCCCUUUUCCUUUUUCUCUUCACCGCCCAAAAAAAACCAACAAAAAACCUAAACAAAGCUGGGCGAACUGCUGUGUGUGUUUGAGUCUGUGAAAAACAGUUUCUUUCCUCUCCUCCAUUAUUUUUUAAGACUUUAUUCUUAGGAAGUACAGAUGGUUUUUUCUUGUUUUUCUUCCUUUUUGACGGUGAUCUGUGUUACCCAGUCUCCCGUCCCCCUCGGUGCUCGGUAUGGCGGCCGGUUUGAGGAGUUCUGUGACAGUAAAUUACGGCACUCUUGAGACAGACGAGCAGCAGGACGUCGUGGAAACAGAGAGAGGAUGCUCGGCGGGGAUUUAGGCUUUAUUAAGACUCAGCCACCAGGCAUUGGGCAACAACAACACAACAUGCAAGGUGUGUGUGAGCGAAUAAGUGAAAGACAGGACACAAAAGCAUCUCUCUCAAUCUAUAGGUGGUCCAACAGUGAAGUAAGAUACACAUCAGCUCUAAUAGGUUUCUCAUGUCUAAAAGUGUUGCUGCACUUGUUUAGAGAAUGUUGCCGCACCGUUCA
ensembl:lncRNA